rnacentral:rRNA from 1 species
AGCGAACGCUGGCGGCAAGCCUAACACAUGCAAGUCGAGCGCCCAGCAAUGGGAGCGGCAGACGGGAUAGUAACACGUGGGAACGUACCCUUCAGUUCGGAACAACCCAGGGAAACUUGGGCUAAUACCGAAUACGUCCGUAAGGAGAAAGAUUUAUCGCUGAAGGAUCGGCCCGCGUCUGAUUAGCUAGUUGGUGAGGUAAUGGCUCACCAAGGCGACGAUCAGUACCCGGCCUGAGAGGCGGACGGACACACUGGGACUGAGACACGGCCCAGACUCCUACGGGAGGCAGCAGUGGGGAAUUGUUCGCAAUGGGCGCAAGCCUGACGACGCAACGCCGCGUGGAGGAUGAAGACC